rnacentral:rRNA from 1 species
UACGGAGGGGGCUAGCGUUGGUCGGAAUUACUGGGCGUAAAGCGCGCGUAGGCGGAUCUGCAAGUCGGGGGUGAAAUCCCGAGGCUCAACCUCGGAACUGCCUUCGAUACUGCGGGUCUCGAGUCCGGGAGAGGUGAGUGGAAUUCCUAGUGUAGAGGUGAAAUGCGUAGAGAUCCGGAGGAACACCAGUGGCGAAGGCGACACGCUGGGCCGUACCUGACACUGAUGCGCGACAGCAUGGGGAGCAAACAGG